rnacentral:rRNA from 1 species
AUUGAACGCUGGCGGCAGGCUUAACACAUGCAAGUCGAGCGAGCGGCGGACGGGUGAGUAAUGUCUGGGACACUGACUGAUGGAGGGGGAUAAAUACUGGAAACGGUAGCUAAUACCGCAUACCAUCAGAUGUGCCCAGAUGGGAUUGGCUAGUCGGUGGGGUAAUGGCUCACCUAGGAGACGAUCCCUAGCUGGCCUGAGAGGAUGACACUCCACACGGGAACGUAGAUACGGUCCAGACUCUGACGGGAGGCAGCAGUGGGGAAUAGUGCACAAGGGGCGCAAGCCGUAUGCAGCCAUGACGCGUGUGUGAAGAAGGCCUUCGGGUUGUAAAGCACUUUCAGCGAGUAGGCGUUACUCGCAGAAGAAGCACCGGCUAACUCCGUGCCAGCAGCCGCGGUAAUAC